rnacentral:rRNA from 1 species
GACGAACGCUGGCGGCGUGCUUAACACAUGCAAGUCGAACGGAAAGGCCCUGCUGUUGCCGUGUGCUCGAGUGGCGAACGGGUGAGUAACACGGGAGUAACCUGCCCUUGACUAUGGGCUACCUUCAGGAAAAUAGGGCUUAGAACGGACAGGAGCUCCUGCUGCAUGGCGGGGGUUGGAAAGUUUCGGCGGUAGGGAAUGGACUCGCGGCUUAUCAGCUUGUUGGGGGGGAGGUGGCUUACCAAGGCUUUGACGGGCAGCCGGCCUGAGAGGGUGGGCGGCCAGAUUGGGACUGAAAUACGGCCCGGACUCCUACGGGAGGCAGCAGUGGAGAAUAGUGCACAAUGGGCUGAAGCCAGAUGCAGCACCGCCGCGUGCGGGAUGACGGCCUGCGGGUUGUAAACCACAUUCGCCUGUGACGAAGCGAGAGUGACGGUAAUGGGUAAAGAAGCACCGGCUAACUACGUG